UGUAUAACAGACAGGAGGAGCAGCGCUUACCGGGUGUACGCGAGAGGUUGAAUAGAAAUAUCUGUUGUUUAAGCGAACAAACAAACAAAAACAGCAACAAAAUGACUGCAAUGACAUUCGUGUGUAUUGGAGUGCUCGUGCUGUCCAUUUAUUUACCCACACAGGUAGAUUCUGACAACAGCACAACAGGCCCACAAAGUGCCAGUCAGGGUAACAGCACUAAUGUAACUGCAGUCUCUCCAAUCCCCACUCUCUCUACAAACACAACGAUCACCAAAGGUGCUGGCAACGCCCUGCAGUCCUCUCUCAGCCCCUUCCUCAUCCUGCUCGUCGCGUCUGCCUCCGUGCUGCGUCUCUGCUGUUAAAGCCACUUUAGAAAAGAAACAACUCAAACUUUAAAAUCCAAUAGUGAAGAUGGAAACCAAAUCACACAAUGAAUGAUUUAAAACACAGCUGUUUUUUUUUCUGUCGUAUCGUGUCUGUAUGAAAAAAAUAAACAAAAUGAAAAGAAACUAGCUACUACCAGAACUUUCUGCCGACAAAUCUGAAGAAUGAAUCUCUUGAAGACUGUACAAUGUCAACACCUCUUUGGAAACCUGAAUCAAGCAAGUUCUUAAUUAUACCCCUCACAAUCAAUAACACUAUUUCAAUGAAGACCCAUGCCAGUACACAUUGAACUCAUCUAGCUGGUGGUAAAGAGCCUUGACCUGACAUAUUUUACUGAACAGAACUGUUUGAAAGCCCACGAAGUAUGAAUACACUUUUCUGGCCACUGCUGAAGCAGCUAGAUGAAUUUGACACAUCAAGCCAUUUUCACCAAGUUGCUCAACAAAAGUUUUUGUUGGUGUUGUUCAUUCUCAUUGUAAUUCCUGUUGAGGUUUACGCAGUAGCUGCAGGGCUGUUCAUGAGCUUCUUAAACUGUUGAAACGGGUUGCAUAAAAUGAAAACCUGAUUUAAUUAAUCCAAAAAUGGGAUAUAAAACAAAAAUAGCCCUUAGAGUUUUGUGAACAGGGCCCAAUCCCAUAGAUAUCAAAUUGACACCUAAAUCCAGUUUUGAAUUAUGUUCAAUUUCCAUUUUAACACUGAUAAAGAGAUUUUCUUUCUUUUCAAUUUUGGAUUUUUAUUUUCAAGAAAAUAAGCAUGUAAAAAAAAUAUAAAAUCAUAUUCGCAUUUAAGAUUAAAGUAGAUGGUCAGAGCUAGGAUUUGUGAACCAUAUCACAAUAAUAGCAUUUAUGAAUGUUCAUUUUCUCUUUUUUCAUAUCUAGACAUCUUACAAGAUUAUAAGGGAUCUUAAUGUCAUUUUUAGAAACAAUCCAACAAUAUUGCUGAAUACAUUUCUGCUAGUCAGAUUGUUAAAUUGGUGUGGUGAAAGAUUUUUUCCUAUAGUUUAUAUUUUUUGUAUAAAUUGCAUUUUAUUAAAAAAAAUGUGUUGCUUUGAAUUAAUUUCAAUGAUGACACAGAUCAGGGAGUACAUUUUACUUCAUUAAAUGAAGUAAAACAAGCAAGAUGUUUGGAAACAAGCAAGAUGUAUUUCAUAUUAUAGGCAAGAAUAAUUUGUACUGCUUCUUUUUUGGUAAGAAAACCACACAAUCUAAUUUGUUUGCCCUAUAAUCUCCAAAUAUUAGAAUGAGGAACAUUUAGCUACAUUUAUGAUCAACAACAAUAAAAGCAAACUUGUACUAUGGAUUUUUUUCUUCUUCUUGGAAGCAUGUUUUGGUUUAUUUUAAAUAAAAGCACAUACAUGUAUAACACAAUGUGGGUCUAUUAAAUAAUUGUUCAUAAAAUUA